UACGUAGGGUGCGAGCGUUAAUCGGAAUUACUGGGCGUAAAGCGUGCGCAGGCGGUUUUGUAAGUCAGAUGUGAAAUCCCCGGGCUUAACCUGGGAACUGCAUUGGUGACUGCAUUGCUGGAGUAUGGCAGAGGGGGGUGGAAUUCCACGUGUAGCAGUGAAAUGCGUAGAGAUGUGGAGGAACACCGAUGGCGAAGGCAGCCCCCUGGGCCAAUACUGACGCUCAUGCACGAAAGCGUGGGGAGCAAACAGG
rnacentral:rRNA from 1 species